UACGGAGGGGGCUAGCGUUGUUCGGAAUUACUGGGCGUAAAGCGCGCGUAGGCGGAUCUGCAAGUCGGGGGUGAAAUCCCGAGGCUCAACCUCGGAACUGCCUUCGAUACUGCGGGUCUCGAGUCCGGGAGAGGUGAGUGGGAAUUCCUAGUGUAGAGGUGAAAUUCGUAGAUAUUAGGAAGAACACCGGUGGCGAAGGCGGCCAUCUGGGAUACAACUGACGCUGAGGCGCGAAAGCGUGGGGAUCAACAGG
rnacentral:rRNA from 1 species